CACAUGCUACAGGAGUAAAAAUUCUUAAACAUCAGUGGGCUGCUGCUCUUCAGGCCCAAACACCCACUUCAAUGGUGCGUGUUCUUCUGACGGCUGCCUUCCCACUGGAGGUUUUGAUCCAGAGCAAUUUAAAAGGACACAGCAAAACAGACAUCGGCGCAGAGCGAAGAACUGCCCUUGAUAAAGAAACCAUGACAGCCAUAUAUAUGGCAGUCAGGAAGAGGUUCCCCAAUGUAUCCAGAGGGGCUUUGGGGAUUGCAGUCAAUUCAAAGCUAGGGGAACUCAGACUGUUGGAGAAGAAAAAAGUUACAUCUUAAGUAUGUAUUAUGUUCACAUACACCCCCCAC